AGUGAACGCUGGCGGUAGGCCUAACACAUGCAAGUCGAACGGCAGCACAGUAAGAGCUUGCUCUUACGGGUGGCGAGUGGCGGACGGGUGAGGAAUACAUCGGAAUCUACUUUUUCGUGGGGGAUAACGUAGGGAAACUUACGCUAAUACCGCAUACGACCUACGGGUGAAAGCAGGGGAUCUUCGGACCUUGCGCGAUUGAAUGAGCCGAUGUCGGAUUAGCUAGUUGGCGGGGUAAAGGCCCACCAAGGCGACGAUCCGUAGCUGGUCUGAGAGGAUGAUCAGCCACACUGGAACUGAGACACGGUCCAGACCCCUACGGGAGGCAGCAGUGGGGAAUAUUGGACAAUGGGCGCAAGCCUGAUCCAGCCAUACCGCGUGGGUGAAGAAGGCCUUCGGGUUGUAAAGCCCUUUUGUUGGGAAAGAAAAGCAGCAGGUUAAUACCCCGCUGUUCUGACGGUACCCAAAGAAUAAACACCGGCUAACUUCGU
rnacentral:rRNA from 1 species